UGAAUACGAGAUGCUACGGCGUCGAAGCAGUCUAUGUCAUACUUCCAAGAAAAGCUUGCACUGUCAUAAACAAAUAAUGCCUGUACCAUAACCGACACAGGUGGGUAGGUAGAGUAUACUAAGGGGCGCGAGAUAACUCUCUCUAAGGAACUCGGCAAAAUGACUCCGUAACUUCGGGAGAAGGAGUGCCUUAUUUUAUAAGGUUGCAAUAACAAGAUCCGAGCAACUGUUUACCAAAAACACAGGUCUCCGCUAAGUCGUAAGACGAUGUAUGGGGGCUGACGCCUGCCCAGUGCCAGAAGGUUAAAGAAGUUGGUUAGCAUCCGCGAAGCUGAUAACUGAAGCCCUGGUGAACGGCGGCCGUAACAAUAACGGUCCUAAGGUAGCGAAAUUCCUUGUCGGGUAAGUUCCGACCCGCACGAAAGGCGUAAUGAUUUGGAUACUGUCUCAGAGAGGGGCUCGGUGAAAUAGACUUGUCUGUGAAGAUGCGGACUACCUGCACCAGGACAGAAAGACCCUAUGAAGCUUUACUGUAACUUGAAAUUGAAAUUGGACUUUACUUGCGCAGUAUAGGUGGGAGGCGUUGAGAAUAUUCUUGCGGGAAUGUUGGAGCCAUCAGUGAGAUACCACUCUUGUAAUGUUAGAUUUCUAACUUUGUAUCAUUAUCUGGUCAAAGGACAGUUUCAGGCGGGCAGUUUGACUGGGGCGGUCGCCUCCCAAACGGUAACGGAGGCGCACAAAGGUUUCCUCUGAACGGGUAGAAAUCGUAUCUAGAGUGUAAAGGCAUAAGGAAGCUUGACUGUGAGACCUACAAGUCGAGCAGGGAUGAAAGUCGGUCUUAGUGAUCUGACGGUGCUGAGUGGAAAGGCCGUCACUCAACGGAUAAAAGUUACUCUAGGAUAACAGGCUGAUCUCCCCCAAGAGUUCACAUCGACGGGGAGGUUUGGCACCUCGAUGUCGGCUCAUCGCAUCCUGGGGCGGUAGUACGUCCCAAGGGUUGGGCUGUUCGCCCAUGAAAGCGGUACGCGAGCUGGGUUCAGAACGUCUGAGACAGUUCGGUCCAUAUCCGGUGUAGGCGUUAGAAUAUUGAGAGGAGCCUUCUUUAGUACGAGAGGACCGAGAAGGACAUACCUCUGGUGUACCAGUUAUCGUGCCAACGGUAAACGCUGGGUAGCUAUGUAUGGAGUGGAUAACCGCUGAAAGCAUCUAAGUGGGAAGCCCACCUCAAGAUAAG
rnacentral:rRNA from 1 species